rnacentral:lncRNA from 1 species
UCAAAUUAAGGACUUCAGUGAUUUGUCGCUGUCGCACAAGACAUUUGCCUGAUAAAAAUAUGAUGUUUCAGGGUCCGAAAGGCUCAAAGGGAGACAUGGGUGAGCCUGGCAUGUCAGGAGAAAAGGGUGGAAUUGGACUGCCUGGCUUACCAGGAGCCAAUGGUAUGAAAGGAGAAAAAGGAGAUGUUGGUUUGCCGGGUCCUCAAGGUCCUUCUAUCAUAGGACCACCUGGAUCACCAGGUCCACAUGGUCCACCAGGCCCUAUGGUAAGCUUCUUUUUUUCACUCCUGCCUCCCAGUUGUAACACUUGCCUAAUGAAAGUGAUGUGAAGUAAUGUGACUAU